UACAGAGGUCCCGAGCGUUGUUCGGAUUCACUGGGCGUAAAGGGUGCGUAGGUGGUUGGGUAAGUCUGAUGUGAAAUCUCCGGGCUCAACCCGGAAAUGGCAUUGGAUACUAUUCGGCUAGAGGUUUGGAGGGGGGACUGGAAUUCUCGGUGUAGCAAUGAAGUGCGUAGAUAUCGAGAGGAACACCAGUGGCGAAGGCGAGUCCCUGGACAACACCUGACACUGAGGCACGAAAGCUAGGGGAGCAAACAGG
rnacentral:rRNA from 1 species